ACGAUCUUAUAGGAAGUCAAGAUGGCCGACAUUGACAGUUCUAAAUGAAAUCAAUGCUAAUAUUUUAGGUGUUUCGAAUAUUAUCAUGUUGGAAAAUGCGUGAAAUAUCAAUAAUAUUAGCCACUGGGCUAAUUGUGUAUAAGAGGAAUUAAAUGAAGUGAACUUGGUGUACCUUUUGUUUUGGACUAUCUAGACGCAAUCAUGGUCUGUUGACUUCGGAUUCGUAAUUUGUACCUCAAAAUUGGUGCCAUGAACAUACUUAAUGGAUCUGAUUUUCGAUCGAUGUUAACCAUCUGCUGUUAUUAUUGGUCAUAGGAAUCUGUUGGGAUAUCAUGAAAAAUGCAGUACAAAAAUCUUGCACUAUAAAGAGAAUGAAUCUGGUCGCAAUCGGAUCAAAAAGAGGCUGCUGUUGAAUACCAACAAAUAUUCAUUAUCUGAUUAUUUGGUUUGAAGCAGGAAUCAAUACAAAUAUGCACUUGGAGUCAAUGCAUAAAGUCAUAAAAUACUUUUACCUGGAAAGGAAGACAGUAAAACGACUUGAUAAGGGAUUGAAUGCUGAGUUGAAGUACGUGAGAGAUAAAAGUGUUGAAAGAAUAAUUAGAUUGACUAAAGGUGAACAUACGAAGCAGACAAGAUUUUUAUCUCAGAAUCACAAGGAAGUUCUAAAACACAUUGAUAAUUAUAUUAUUGAAACAAAUAUUUAUAAUAUUAGUUGGAAUAUUUUGAAAAAUGAACAAACUUCAUAUACUAUUUACCGAUUAUUAGAUAUAAAGUAUUGUGAGCAAAUAUGCUUGUUUUGUGAAGUAUGUACUCACAUGUUUUCAUGUGAAUGCAAAUUUUAUUUGGAAAACAGGACUAUGUGUGAACACAUUCAUAUGCUAAUAAAUAAGCUUCAAACUGAAAAUAAAUUGGAACCUGUUCCUGACUUCAGAGUAGAUAAUAUAUCCAAAGAACUGUUAGCGUUGUCUGAAAAACCAAAUUCCUCUAAUAAAAAAAUUAAGGAUAUAAAAGAUUUAGCUUCCAAAUUUGAGAGUUUAGACUUUGAAGAGUUUGAUGAUGAAACUAUCAACAAAAUUCAUCACCACCUAAUAAUUGGAAAAAAUAUAAUGAGUUGUUCUAAUUUUCCAAAUGGCAAUACCAAGUUUCAAUUAAGAAAUGAAUAAAAUCAAAGACCAGUCUCAACAUUACAGGAAAUUUAAGCCGAGCCUCUGAAGAUUCAUUUCUCUAUAAAUCGGUAGAACCACUGAAUGACCAUCAAUAUUGUUGAAUUACUUGAUUGGAUAUGUAAUGUUUUCAGUCCGACAUUUUUUUGAAAUAAAUACUAUUUGUGAUUUGCA